UCAGCAAUUUUCUUAUCUUUGUCAUUCUUCUCAUUCUCUACUUCCUUGAGAAUUUCUAGAAGCCUGUCAACCUCAGCCUGAGCUUUGCCACAUUCUUCUCUAUAGUAUGAUGCCUCCUUGUCAAGCUGUUUCAUUCUGUCUGCAAAUUCUGGAUUCAUCCGUGCCUCCUCUUCGGCCUCAUGAGCCUUUUUCAACUGUGCUUCCAACUUACUACACUCUUCUUUCUUUUGUUCUAUGGCUAUUUCUAAAGACUUAAGUUUGGAGUCUCUUUUCAGCCCUGCUGAUGCCAAUGAAGAUGCAUGUUCUUUGAGAUCGAUUAAACUAGACUCUUUUUCUGUCAGCUCAGCUUGUAAAGCAUUAACUUUCUCCUUCAAGUCUUUGUUUUCUUUUUUAUAAGAUUCGAUUUCUUCAAGUCUUUCUCUGUCAUCUCGCUCCCUUUGCUCCUUCAAGCGUUCUAUUAUUCUUUCCUUUUCAGACAGAGCUUCUUCUAAGGUGGCUAGUGCUGUGUCUGUGUUACUAGAAUCUGUCUGCAAUGACUUCACUCUGUCCUUUAGAUUAGUUAGUUGUUUGUCUUUGUCCCUAAGUUGCUCCUGUAGAUUUUCAAUCUUUUUUUGAAGGACAUUAAUUUUCCUUUCCUUUACUUCCAACAUGUCUUUCAUAUCCCGAAUCUCUCCAGCCAGGGUUCCUUUCUCUUCUGUGAGGUCUUGAAGUUGUUUUGUUUUUUUAUUGAGAAAUGUUUCUUUUUCUUCCAAUCGUAACCGCAAGGCAUCAACCUCUGUCUGAAGUAUGGCAGCUCUCUGUUCUUUGGCAGUAAGUGACUCUUUAAGCACUUCAAUGUGUUGCUUGCAAUCUGAAUUCUGAUUGCUAAGGGUUUCAAGCUUAGUUUGUAAGGCAAGAAGUUCUGAUUCUUUCUUUGAGAGUUCUUGUUUCAGUUGGUCAAUCUUAUUUUUCAUGAACUUCGAGUGACUCUUGUAAACUUCAAUUUGUUUGAUUUCUUCUUCUCGGUCCUCUGUAUUCAGAACUCCAUUUGUCUUUAACAUCUGUAUUUCAUCUUCAAGGUCUCUUAUAUUGCGCUCAAGUGAAGCUAUUUUUGUAUCCUUCAUUUCAAUAACUGUUUGAAGAGCCUUCGUCUUUGCUGGCUCAGGCUGAAGUUGAGUUCUUCUAUGUAAUUCCUCUCUAAGAUGUAUGUUUUCC
rnacentral:lncRNA from 1 species